AGCAUAUAUUUGACUUAUGUUACGGCCAUAAGAUAGGUAUUAUAUAUACCGUAUGUUU
rnacentral:tRNA from 1 species